UGCAAAUGCAUAUUUAAUGUCCUACGUUGAACUAUAGACAAUUUUCCACUGAUAAUUGUGUUUUAAAAAAAUAUAAGCUAAAUUCGUAGUUCAGGUGAGAGGAGAAUGGGAUUCAUCUGCAGAAAAACAACUGUUUUAAAUGAGCUAGCUAGCUAGCAAGAAGUUGCUAACGCUAACUGAACAGUCGUGCUGCGGUGCUUUUCACCUGGAAGCAACUUAAAUCGAGUAGCCGGUAGCCACAGCCAUUGUGCCUGAGGACCAACUCCAGAGGCCAGUACUUCCUUCUAACUUCAGAAUAAGAUUCCUCUGGAUCCACCCCCCUCUUGGAUCCCAGAUUCUCUCCAUCAUCUCCUCCAACCGUGAGGUCUAACCGGCAGGGCAGGGGCGUGUGGGCGGACAUGCUGGGUGCUGGCAGCGUGCUCCGUCUGCUAGUGAGUAAUGCGAGUACAGAGACGACCCCCCUCCCCCUCCACCCCCACCACCCAAACACACAUCUCACACUCCUAGAAAGAGAUGGGCCAUAGAUGGAGAGGCAGGCACUCCUGCUGUGACUUGGCGCACCCCACUGGACAGCUGGAGACUUAGGGAAAGGAGACGCUGCCAAACAUGCCUGACAGAGCAGGGGAGUGCUGGAGGUGCAGGGCUGGGUGAGGCCUGAGGUGGCUCCCAUACCUGCAGCUGAUCACCGGCCCAUCAUCUGUAAUUAUCUACACUUACAUACCAGUGAGAUAAAAGGAGGGAUGGUGGACAUAUGCGUGCGCACACACUCACACACACACACACACACACACACACACACACACACACACACACACACACACGCACACGCACAUGCACCCAGACAUUUAUAAUUACAUUAAAAUACUGUGAAAACAGACAAGUGACCAACCCGUAAAAAACAAUUUUCCAGUGAGUUUGGCAUGAACACACCUACUUAUGUUACCCUGAUGAGGAUGUGGUAUCUGCUAUUAUUAUUUUGAUUGAUAUUCUUGUAAGCAGUAAUAGAGAUAAUGAGCUUCUGCUUUGUUUAGCUAAUGCCAAUUAUAUUGUAUAACAACAACAAUUUGCUCAAUCUCAGCAGUGAUUUCUGAACCCAAGGCAACAAUGAAAUCUAUUAGUCUCAUGUGAAUCAUAUGAAUGUUUGGCAAAUGAAAGCGGUGUUGAUUUAUUGCUGCAGCUAAUGAUUCAUUAUCAAUUAAUGUGACAAUGAUUUUCUUGAUUUUUUUGACUAAUAGUUUUGUCUAAAAAAUUAAAGAAAAAGCUGAAAACAGUAGAAGCCAUCUUGUUUAUCAGAGCCUAAGAUGAUAUCCUCAAAUUGCUCAUUCUGUCUGACGAACACACCAAAAUAAAAAAAAAUAAAAAAUGUUAAUUUUGCCAUCAGAUAUUACAAAGAAACUCAAUCAAUUCCUCACACUAGAAAGACUAAAACCAGAGAAUGUUUUGCAUGAAUUGAUUCAAAUCAGAUUUGUCGGUGAUUAAUUUUCUGUAGCGUGACCGACCAGCAGUUUCAUGUAAAUAAAAACUCUUCACAAUUCUUCCAGAAAAUAUAU